GCGCCUGUAGCUCAGCUGGAUAGAGUACCUGGCUACGAACCAGGGGGUCGCACGUUCGAAUCGUGCCAGGCGCACCA
rnacentral:tRNA from 1 species